UAGGGAAUCUUCGGCAAUGGACGAAAGUCUGACCGAGCAACGCCGCGUGAGUGAAGAAGGUUCUCGGAUCGUAAAACUCUGUUGUUAGAGAAGAACAAGGACGUUAGUAACUGAACGUCCCCUGACGGUAUCUAACCAGAAAGCCACGGCUAACUACGUGCCAGCAGCCGCGGUAAUACGUAGGUGGCAAGCGUUGUCCGGAUUUAUUGGGCGUAAAGCGAGCGCAGGCGGUUUCUUAAGUCUGAUGUGAAAGCCCCCGGCUCAACCGGGGAGGAUCAUUGGAAACUGGGAGACGUGAGUGCAGAAGAAGAGAGUGGAAUUCCAUGUGUAGCGGUGAAAUGCGUAGAUAUAUGGAGGAACACCAGUGGCGAAGGCGGCUCUCUGGUCUGUAACUGACGCUGAGGCUCGAAAGCGUGGGGAGCAAACAGG
rnacentral:rRNA from 1 species